UCGUACUGAGUACCGAGUACUCGUUUCUCUAUUGUGUCGUUUCUUGUCCGCCACUAUCGAAAAUAAACAGUCUCCAUCUUGGACAAAUCGUGGCGUGUCGUGGCCCGGACCGUUCGACGGAACUACACACCCAGGACACUAUAUUGUGGCGACGAGGAUGAGAUCGUUUCUCGUACUCGUUUCUCUAUUGUGUCGUUUCUUGUCCGCCACUAUCGAAAAUAAACAGUCUCCAUCUUGGACAAAUCGUGGCGUGUCGUGGCCCGGACCGUUCGACGGAACUACACACCCAGGACACUAUAAAAGGCCAACUCCCUUUUGUUGAAUUUCGAAAUUACCAUGGUUCUGAGCUGUUCAGCCUACCGGACCUGCCAAUGCUCUACCAUGAAUUGUCGAGUAACUUCAGUGAUGUGGGGCUUACAUUAUGGUCAAAAAAUAUCAAAAUUGAAUUAUCUAUCAGAUUCUGUGCCUUUUGUUGCCUUUUAAAGGUUGGAAACUGUGUUUAGUUGAUGUUCAAUACAUAACCACCAUUGCUGUCCAUGGUCACCCUGUUCCACUAUAUGUAAUGAUUCUCAAAAACUAGAUCGAUGUGGGGUCUAAAUAUUUCACUAAAAUUAACAGAAUCGCUUACAUUAUAAUAUAUUAAAAUGUCAAAACGUAAGAAACGCGGGAACUUUAAAAGAUUUACGUCUAAUUCUAAAACUUUGAAUUUUGAAUACAAAACAGUUCUGGACGAAAACAUAGCUAGAUGGUGAACUAGUCAUUGUUGGGCUCACAAAGACCCUUUAUUGAAAUAAAAAUUCAAUUUUCUCCCAAAAUAUGUAUGAUUUAUUGCAGUUUAAGAAUCAAAAGAUGCAUUAUUUUGGUCUGGUAUGCGUUGGCUUCCUUGCCGCCUAAGGUCACACGGUGAGAGUUAAUGGCAUAUUAUUAGAAAACAAGACCGAUGUGGGGUCUAUUUAAAGCAUGAUAGUAAACAAAAUUGAAUUUUGUAUCUAUUGGUAUAGGUUUUUAAACAACAUAAACGCGGGAACUUUACGAAACGUGGUAUUGAAAACUGCCGACCAUAAUUAUCACCCGCAGUUGCGCGCAGUUUUCUGUACUGCUAUCGCUAGCAAACGCCAGAUUUUGUAUUUGAUUGGUUUAACGGCGUUUCUUUUACUGAUUGAGAACACUUUUAAGUUUCAAGCUAUUCAGCAUGGCUUUGGAUUCAACUCAAGGCGCUCAAGGCUAUAAACAUUUUCAAAUUUAAUGAAUUUUCUUGUUGGAUUUGUUUUUGAUAGGCCACGGAACAGGAAACGGAUUUUGAAAUGUAUUUUUAUUGUGAGUUUAUCUGUGCCGGGUGGGGUGGAUUUGUGUCAAGUUUCUUUUCUGUGGUUAGUUGAGAUACAAGUCAAAAUAGUUUUUAUAUUGAUUUGCCAUCGGGAUUAUUAGGUAGUUACCUAUCCUACGAAGUAUGUAGUCUACCUGAAGUCAAGUCUAUAUAAACCCCUCACCCAGAUUCGUUUUGGUCCUCUGCUCUCUUGUUUCCAUGAUCCUGAUCCUCUCCUUCUCUUCUUCGUCUCAAUCUCCUGCUUCAGGUUGAGACCCUGCUGUGGUUGGCCAUUUCGAGUUGUGCUUUUGGAGCUUGCAGCAAUGCGUGUUGCAAGUAACUCACCAGAAAAGAUGAUGCUCUGAGAAUUAAUAAACAAAAGCCCACAAAGUCCUGUAAUUGACAAGUUACAUGGAUAAGUUUGAGUUAUUAUAUCAUUAAAAAAGUCUUGCAAUGUGUGUAGCGAUCAUGAAAUACAUGCCCUCUGCGGGCUUUGUCCACCUCUCCCAAACAUCCACCCUGCUAAGGGUUGGACAGACAACUAUCUGAUGGGGGAAGCCUGGAGGUUCCCCCAGGGUCCAAUCUUAUAAAAUGUCUUACUAUUUUAUUCACGGCAUUUGGUAACAUUUAUGGUGAUGUCAGUGCUGUCAGUGCUGAGUCUGGGUGACUGAGUCUUGACAACUCACCUCAACCUGGGUGUCUGCCCAGACCAAUGUUUCCUCAUAAUGUCUCCAGGUCGACACGGUUUUAACAGGCACUCGGACCUAAUGUAUACUUUUACCGGUCUCCACUGCUCUCCUCGCCUGUUUCAGCUGUCUACCCCUGCACGCUUGAUUCCUGACUCCCUCUCUCAUUCGAUUUACCCAGGUUUUGCCAAUGUUCUGAGUGUUCAGUUGCUACUUUUUGGUGCGCACACACCCCAGACUCUCCAUCCAAUUAAUGCCUGAACAGUUGCUGAAAGUGCCUCCCACCAGACUUGCUGAAUGGCUACUACUUGCAUAUGCUAUCUGGACUGAAGCUUCCCCAACUAGCUGCCAUGGCUCUCGGCAGCUGGGCUUAAUAGGUCACAGGUCAAAGUUCAUUUGGGUCAGGUUCAUAAAAUGUCAAGGACAUGUGUAAAAUUGAUCAACUGGAGGGUACUGAAAGUUUCGUCGCAAUCGGCGUCUUUUUAUGCGAGUUAUGAGUUAUCCGCGAAAAUCCGAGGAGGGGGCCCCCCCCCAUACGGGCGAGGGUUAGGCCACAUUCGGAAAGUCAAGCUACAUCUAGCUAGGCACAUCAGCCUAUCACGGGCGUUUGACUAGUAAAAUAUAGACAUUUGCAGCCUUUUUUGACGUUGAAUUUGCUGAUUUAGUUAUAGGUCGUCAAUCGUCAUUAUGUGCCUGCCGCCGCUUUUGUCGUCUUCAUUGUGUGCUUUGUGGUUUUUUAGUUUUGAUUAUAUCAUCCUCCAUCAGGCUUGUUUCUGGCAGUGGUUCUGGAGACAGCGUGUCGAUCCAGCUGUAGAACGUCAUCCGGAGGUGGCAGAGUGUGCUGGCCAGCCACGCGGCGCGCGUAUCGACAUUGACCAGAAACUAUCACAUCAUCUCCAGGUCACUGGUCGAGGGCGCUCGAGCUGACGGUGUCUUCCGACGGCUCCACGGUGACCAGCGCCGCCACCGCCGAGACCAUCCGACUCCUGAAAUGCUAACGGCCGUGCACGAACAAGAGGCUCUAAGCAUCCAGGUGCAAGGCAAGCGCCAUGCUCAGAGGUGUCAUCCGAAGAAGGCCGCACAGUGCACUUUAGGGUGAGCUCGGGUGUAGUGCGCGCCGACGGAUAGGAUGAAAUGACGGGCCGGCCAUCAGAUUUCAGUGCGGGGAUCAAGGUGGUCGGAGCCGAUGUGGCUCGGUUGAUGGUGUGGCAGGGACCAGGGUUGAUUGAGAGUGAAAGCGAGACACCCGGAUCUGUAAAGAAUACGCCGAUACGGGUCUCGAACGUCGUCCCGCAAUUUGUGCUCUGUAAUAUGACGGCUAUGCCGUGGUAUCAUUCACUCUCGGUGCGCUAAUAAAUAAUUAAUAGGACAGAGGCUGGAAUUAAGAUAUUAUAUUUGGAUGUAAGGGGCAGGUUUGGGCCAGCGCUAUUUUAGAAAUCGUGAGCGUGCUAGUUGCAAUCAAUCGUGCGCUUCUUGUUGAGCAUCUGGAGCGAGAAAAUACUUUCUUUGGAACUUAGCAGUUCGUCGUGAAAUAUUUGUAUCUUUGGAGUCAGUUGUCAGAACAUGAAUGCAUUUUUGGUGUCCACUGCAGCUGCUGUUCUGGAACAGAAACAUGCCGAGAUCGGCUGUGUUUGUAUGUUGUGGCAAAAUCAAGCAGCCGUACCAUGAAUCAAAAGCGAUAUGUGAAUUAAAGUGAAUAUAUUUCACUAUUUUUCAGUUUUAUCAUACAGAUCACAGAAAUGCGUCAAAUACUGA